UGAGGAAUAUUGGUCAAUGGGCGAGAGCCUGAACCAGCCAAGUAGCGUGCAGGAAGACGGCCCUAUGGGUUGUAAACUGCUUUUAUGUGGGGAUAAAGUGCGUGACGUGUCAUGCAUUGCAGGUACCACAUGAAUAAGGACCGGCUAAUUCCGUGCCAGCAGCCGCGGUAAUACGGAAGGUCCGGGCGUUAUCCGGAUUUAUUGGGUUUAAAGGGAGCGUAGGCUGUCUAUUAAGCGUGUUGUGAAAUAUACCGGCUCAACCGGUGGCUUGCAGCGCGAACUGGUCGACUUGAGUAUGCAGGAAGUAGGCGGAAUUCAUGGUGUAGCGGUGAAAUGCUUAGAUAUCAUGACGAACUCCGAUUGCGCAGGCAGCUUACUGUAGCAUAACUGACGCUGAUGCUCGAAAGUGCGGGUAUCGAACAGG
rnacentral:rRNA from 1 species